rnacentral:rRNA from 1 species
GGAAGAGCUCAAAUUUAUAAUCUCGGCACCUUCGGUGUCCGAGUUGUAAUCUCUAGAAAUGUUUUCCGCGUUGGACCGCACACAAGUCUGUUGGAAUACAGCGGCAUAGUGGUGAGACCCCCGUAUAUGGUGCGGACGCCCAGCGCUUUGUGAUACAUUUUCGAAGAGUCGAGUUGUUUGGGAAUGCAGCUCAAAUUGGGUGGUAAAUUCCAUCUAAAGCUAAAUAUUGGCGAGAGACCGAUAGCGAACAAGUACCGUGAGGGAAAGAUGAAAAGCACUUUGGAAAGAGAGUUAACAGUACGUGAAAUUGUUGGAAGGGAAACGCUUGAAGUCAGACUUGCUUGCUGAGCAAUCGGUUUGCAGGCCAGCAUCAGUUUUCCGGGAUGGAUAAUGGUAGAGAGAAGGUAGCAGUUUCGGCUGUGUUAUAGCUCUCUGCUGGAUACAUCUUGGGGGACUGAGGAACGCAGUGUGCCUUUGGCGGGGGUUUCGACCUCUUCACACUUAGGAUGCUGGUGGAAUGGCUUUAAACGAC